rnacentral:sRNA from 1 species
UCGGACGUAUGGAAAAUCGCCAUGCGCGGCAGGAAGCCAAGGUGAAUGGCCUGGCGCGUCAGCGAAAACGCGCCGGUUAUGACCGCCUGACUGGCGAUGA